rnacentral:misc_RNA from 1 species
ACGAGUUUUUUAAUUGCUUAGGAUUAGAGUUGAGCUGGUUAAUCUAAUUAAUAUGUGCUUACUCUAAUCGAAAGCAAGUCCCUCAUUACUUAAAGCACUUGUGAAACUUAUUCAUUACAAACAUUAUUAUUUGUUAUUGGAACGUUUGAUUAUUAAAAAGUUAAUA